CUCAGUAGUGUGCAGACCCUUCUACCUACCGAUAGAGGUCAUUGUUGUCAUUUUAACAACUGUUUAUAUACCACCCCAUGCUAACGUUAGCGUAGCACUCUCCCUACUACAUGAUGCCAUCAUUAAGCAGAUGCAGACACAUCCAGAAGAACCCUUUACUUAAGCCUGCUUGAAGAAUAUGCUCCUCAGAUUUGUGCAAUAUGUACAUUCUGACCUCCAAGAGCAAAUCCAUCAUUUCUUGUGUCGUACUAACUGGUAAUAUUUUUUGGUGCACAAUAUUAUCCAUAUCUAAUAGCCUCUACUCACGGGCAGGUGUAUGCUUUGUGCACUCCCUUGUGUUUGAGGCGGUUGUGUCGGCAAAGACUGUGAGUGGAACUGAAGGACUUGUCGCACUGUCGGCAUGGGUGCUUCUUCAAUAUCUAAUGUAGAAGAGGAAGAGUGGGUUUGGCGCUGAGCGGGAGGUUGAUUCCUAAGUUUGGUGGACCCUCAAUAGUCUUCAGAGUUCCAUGAAUGCCCUGGAUGCUGUGUGUACGCAUGGGAGUGUGUUGCUGGUGCAGACUUGAAGGCCAUGGGACAAAGCGGACAUUUAUAGAAGACCUCACAGUGUGUAGUCUGGAUGUGCGACUUCAAAGUCGCAACAUCAGAGAAGAUCACACUACAGUGAAUACAUCUAGCAGUUUGGAAACAGGACAAAGGGGGAAAUAUCAGCUUGUGAUAGCUACUACCGUAAGAUUAGAUUUACCUUGAAACAGUCUUCUAUUGUGACUGACCGGUAGCCGACUCUACGUGCGUAGUGCAGGCAGUUCUUGGUGACGUGGGACUGGAAGUGGACAGAUCGACAGCUUGCGCCACACUCUGGGCAGAUGUAAGGAGACUUGUGCUGAUGGAUUCGUUGAUGCGACAGAAAACUGCACUGAUUUGGAAGAAGCAUUUGGCAGAUAUUGCAGGUUUUCUAAUGAAACAGAGAACAUAGAAAUGUUAAUUGUAUUGUGUGUUAAAUAUAGUAACAGUUCCUCCAUGAUUUCGCUGUCUUUUUUUAUUGUUCCAGCAUAAAAUGCCUGAUUUCAAAGCAGCAUUUUUAAAAAGUUGCUGCAAAAGUUGCAACGUUUUAACGCUUUUUUCCAUUAACAUUACAUAUCCUUGUGAUUUUAUGAAUUUGUAGUUAGCGUUUUAAGUGUUUUUGUAACUCUAACCCUAAAAGCACAAGAUUUUUGUUGCAUGAAAAAA